UGGAAUUGUCACAGGACAUAGAGCUAUACACUGUACAUCGCUGCCAUACUUCAUAAAACAAAUAAAAAGAUAUACUGGGAUAGACUAUAUAAGUUAAAACGAUUGAUAUAGACCUCUUCAUAUAAAAUAUGGACGCUGUUGGAGGUGUAGUGUAUGUAUUAUCAUGGAUUCUGGCGUUUAUUUUCUUGAAGGCCGGGUUGGUCAAAAUAAGCCGAUUAUUUCCAAAAGAACACCAACAAGCGUCUGCGAGAUUUGAUAUUUGUGCUACGGUGUGUCCCACAGCAUUCAUAGGAUACAGACCCCCUCCAUAUGCAUAUAUGAUAGUGAUAGGCGCCAUAGAAACACUGAGUUCCAUUGCUCUUUUCACGCCUUUACCAGAAAUAGAGAGAGGUGUAUAUUUAAUAUUCGCAGCUUUAAUGACACUUGCAAUUUAUACCCAUGGUGCUCUGCGACAAUAUGGCAAAAUGGUGGUACCAAUCUGUUUAUUCCUUACGAGUGUAAUUUUGUAUAAAACCAGAACUUCGAUGCUUGUGUAAUAACAGCAGAUACUGUAAGACUGUAAUGCUUGUGUAAUAACAGUAGAUACUGCAAGACUGUAAUGUUUGUGUAAUAACAGUAGAUACUGUAAGACUGUAAUGUUUGUGUAAUAACAGCAGAUACUGUAAGACUGUAAUGUUUGUGUAAUAACAGCAGAUACUGUAAGACUGUAAUGUUUGUGUAAUAACAGCAGAUACUGUAAGACUGUAAUGUUUGUGUAAUAACAGUAGAUACUGUAAGACUGUAAUGUUUGUGUAAGAACAACUGAUACUGUAAGACUGUAAUAUUUGUGUAAUAACAGCAGAUACUGUAAGACUGUAAUGUUUGUGUAAUAACAGCAGAUACUGUAAAACUGUAAUGUUUGUGAUUUUCUCUCUAGUAUAGCACAAAAAUGUUUAAGUUCUUGUUUCUUACUGAGUACACUUUUUCAUGUUUGUAAUCUAAGCGUGCACUUAUAGUUGUUUUAAUUAUCUUAUUAAAUAUGAUUAUUAAAACACA